rnacentral:rRNA from 1 species
UACGGAAGGCAGCAGUGGGGAAUAUUGCACAAUGGGCGCAAGCCUGAUGCAGCCAUGCCGCGUGUAUGAAGAAAGGGCCUUCGGGUUGUAAAGUACUUUUCAGCGGGGAGGAAGGCGGUGGAGUUAAUAGCUUCACCGAUUGACGUUACCCGCAGAAGAAGCACCGGCUAACUCCGUGCCAGCAGCCGCGGUAAUACGGAGGGUGCAAGCGUUAAUCGGAAUUACUGGGCGUAAAAGCGCACGCAGGCGGUCUGUCAAGUCGGAUGUGAAAUCCCCGGGCUUAACCUGGGAACUGCAUUCGAAACUGGCAGGCUAGAGUCUUGUAGAGGGGGUAGAAUUCCAGGUGUAGCGGUGAAAUGCGUAGAGAUCUGGAGGAAUACCGGUGGCGAAGGCGGCCCCUGGACAAGACUGACGCUCAGGUGCGAAAGCGUGGGGAGCAAACGAGGAUUAGGAUACC